rnacentral:pre_miRNA from 1 species
UUCGGUUAUCUAGCUUUAUGACGGCUCUGUGGCACUCAUACAGCUAGAUAACCAAAGA